AACGAACGCUGGCGGCGCGUCUUAAGCAUGCAAGUCGAACGGCAAGAUUGGUGCUUGCACCGAUCCUAGAGUGGCGGACUGGUGAGUAACGCGUGGGUGACGUACCCUAAGGAUGGGGAUAGUUGGUAGAAAUAUCAGAUAAUACCGAAUAUCCUUAUUGUUGUUAGAGGACAGUAAGGAAAGGAGCUUUGGCUUCGCCUAAGGAUCGGCCCGCGUACUAUUAGCUAGUUGGUGAGGUAACGGCUCACCAAGGCGACGAUAGUUAUCCGGCCUAAGAGGGUGAACGGACACAUUGGGACUGAGAUACGGCCCAGACCCCUACGGGAGGCAGCAGCUAAGAAUAUUCCGCAAUGGAGGAAACUCUGACGGAGCGACGCCGCGUGGAUGAUGAAGGCCGGAAGGUUGUAAAAUCCUUUUAAGCAAGAAGAAUAAACUUUACAGGGAAUGGUAGAGUGGUGACGGUAUUGCUUGAAUAAGCAACGGCUAAUUACGUGCCAGCAGCCGCAGUAACAC
rnacentral:rRNA from 1 species